UACGUAGGGUGCAAGCGUUAAUCGGAAUUACUGGGCGUAAAGCGUGCGCAGGCGGUUUUGCAAGACAGAUGUGAAAUCCCCGGGCUUAACCUGGGAACUGCAUUUGUGACUGCAAGGCUAGAGUGUGUCAGAGGGAGGUGGAAUUCCGCGUGUAGCAGUGAAAUGCGUAGAGAUGCGGAGGAACACCGAUGGCGAAGGCAGGUCUCUGGGCAUUAACUGGACGCUGAGGAGGCGAAAG
rnacentral:rRNA from 1 species